ensembl:misc_RNA Metazoa_SRP Metazoan signal recognition particle RNA
GCCGGGUGCGGUGGCUUGCGCCUGUAAUCCCAGCACUUUGGGAGGCCGAGGUGGGCGGAUUACCUGAGGUCAGGAGUUCGAGACCAGCCUGGCCAACAUGGUGAAACCCCAUCUCUA